UACGUAGGGUGCAAGCGUUGUCCGGAUUUAUUGGGCGUAAAGAGCGUGUAGGCGGCCACACAGGUCUGCUGUGAAAACUCGAGGCUCAACCUCGAGCUGUCGGUGGAAACCGUGUGGCUAGAGUCCGGAAGAGGAGAGUGGAAUUCCCGGUGUAGCGGUGAAAUGCGCAGAUAUCGGGAAGAACACCCGUGGCGAAGGCGGCUCUCUGGGACGGUACUGACGCUGAGGCACGAAGGUCAGGGGAGCAAACGGG
rnacentral:rRNA from 1 species